AAUGCUUAGGAAUCUGCCUAUUAGUGGGGGACAACAUUCCGAAAGGAAUGCUAAUACCGCAUACGCCCUACGGGGGAAAGCAGGGGAUCUUCGGACCUUGCGCUAAUAGAUGAGCCUAAGUCAGAUUAGCUAGUUGGUGGGGUAAAGGCCUACCAAGGCGACGAUCUGUAGCGGGUCUGAGAGGAUGAUCCGCCACACUGGGACUGAGACACGGCCCAGACUCCUACGGGAGGCAGCAGUGGGGAAUAUUGGACAAUGGGCGCAAGCCUGAUCCAGCCAUGCCGCGUGUGUGAAGAAGGCCUUUUGGUUGUAAAGCACUUUAAGCGAGGAGGAGGCUACUUGGAUUAAUACUCUAGGAUAGUGGACGUUACUCGCAGAAUAAGCACCGGCUAACUCCGUGCCAGCAGCCGCGGUAAUACAGAGGGUGCGAGCGUUAAUCGGAUUUACUGGGCGUAAAGCGUGCGUAGGCGGCUUUUUAAGUCGGAUGUGAAAUCCCUGAGCUUAACUUAGGAAUUGCAUUCGAUACUGGGAAGCUAGAGUAUGGGAGAGGAUGGUAGAAUUCCAGGUGUAGCGGUGAAAUGCGUAGAGAUCUGGAGG
rnacentral:rRNA from 1 species